UUUUUGUAUGGUUUGGUCUCGCAUUUCACUGAUGGACGCUUUGGCCUUGUCAAGACUUUUUGGUCCUCAGUUUUCUUUUUCCUGUGGAAAAACCUGAUUGAAUGUCCUUUGUUUGAGCACGGGCAAAGCCACAAGUCACUCUUUACGAAAUCCGAGAUGCUCUUCAUUGGAAUGCCAUGGCCGUGUUCGCUUUGCGUCCCGAAACAGGAUGGAGAAAUUGAGGCGGCUCGGGUAACUUGCACACACUUUCAAACUCUCUGCUUUUGGAAAUCAAGGGGAGUUUUUUGAGGGGUUUAAAGGCCAAAGUUAGCUAUAGUAACAUGAUGCUGCAAGGGGUUGUAUCCUCUGAAUAGUGAACUAACUUGCUUCGAGUUCUAUCUUUAUAAGUAAUCUGAGAAUCUUGUAACGAAUGAAUCUAUGUUUUUGCUUCUUUUCCGAGUGCACUGACUUUGUUACCAUGAGCAAUGCAACUGGCUUGUCCUUAAGCAUUUUAUUGCAACCUGUGCUAAUUUAUUUAGCAGGGCAGUCUAACUGAGCAUAAGUCCAGAAUCAUUCCCUUUUUAGGUUCUUUUUUGGCUAUGAAAUAUAGAGUAGCUCUGGGAAAUUUCUAGGUA